rnacentral:rRNA from 1 species
CCAGACUCCUACGGGAGGCAGCAGUGAGGAAUAUUGGUCAAUGGCCGAGAGGCUGAACCAGCCAAGUCGCGUGAGGGAAGAAUGUCCUAAGGAUUGUAAACCUCUUUUGUCGGGGAGCAAAAAGGCUCUGCGGAGUCGUAUUGAGAGUACCCGAAGAAAAAGCAUCGGCUAACUCCGUGCCAGCAGCCGCGGUAAUACGGAGGAUGCGAGCGUUAUCCGGAUUUAUUGGGUUUAAAGGGUGCGCAGGCGGCUUGUUAAGGCAGGGGUAAAAGCCGGGGGCCCACCCCCGGCGAGCCGUUGAAACUGGCGGGCUGGAGUUGGAGAGAAGUACGCGGAAUGCGCGGUGUAGCGGUGAAAUGCUUAGAUAUCGCGCAGAACCCCGAUUGCGAAGGCAGCGUACCGGCUCCACACUGACGCUGAGGCACGAAAGCGUGGGUAUCGAACAGGAUUAGAUACCCCUGUAA